rnacentral:lncRNA from 1 species
CGCAGUUCAAAAGCAACCUCCAGUCAGUCUAGACGCGGCCGCCACUGCGGAGGGUUGUACGCUCACCUGCAAGGUGACCCGCUCUCGGCCUCUGCCACGUCGGUGACAAAGUCCAAAAACUCGUCCAAGUUGAGAAAACUAGUGAGUCUUAACACAUCCACACUGAGGCGAGGCUCCCUGAGCGCCGCAGCGGCCUCCCUCCCUUGCUGUGUGUGUCUUGAGCAGCUGAGUCUGGGCUGCUGGAAUGUUAUUGGUUGCUUCAUUGCAGUAUUCUAAGUGUGAGGCCGCCCUCUAUUGGAAUAGGCUUCCCUCAAUUGCCUUUGUUUGGUUUCAUUUUGCUUGUUGAGUUGUUUUGAUUGUUGCUUCCCGCACCAUUCUGUUCCCGUAUUGAAACUUUAAGGUUAAAGAAACUUUACUCUUCCCUUCCAGGAUGAUUAACAUCCCUGGCCGGGCUGGACUUGCCAGCCGCGCGCCGCCGCCGAGCGUUUAGAAUGCUGCAAUACUUAAUGUUCUAGUUGUGCUUUAGAAAAUAACUGGGCUUGUGCAGGAUGACUGUUCUUGACCUGUCAGUUGUUGCCACUGUCGCCCCCUCCCCCAACCUCCCCUCCCCGCGGCCCCAGCCAUCCCCACCCCGCGUUGGCCGGACCGAUGGGCAGGGAGGGGCCGGGCACGGGUGGUGGGCUAAGCCUGUGGGGUUUCCUCGCCUCACUCCACCCCACGCCGCCCCCACCCACGCCUCCGCCGCCACACUUGGCCUGCCAUGGGUCGUGGCCGCCAGCUGAGAGCGGGGCCCUGCGUGGGUGAGCCAUGCACCAGGAUUGAGCUGCACCUCGAGGAUUGUCUGAGCGAGGAGCGCCGAGGAUGAGAUGAGGCCCAGGCUGUGACGCUGUGACGCUGUGAUGAGGGGAGGCUGUGACGCUGUGACGCUGUGAGGGGAAGCUGUGACGGUGAUAACGGGAGGCUGUGACGCUGUGACGGUGAUGAGGGGAGGCUGUGACGCUGUGAUGAUGAUGAGGUGUGACGGUGAAGAUGUGACGCUGUGAAGGAGGUACGUGCGAGAGAAGGGAACACCGUACAUCUCACUAGGAUUCUCGUACACUCAAGCUCAUGUGUAGGAUGGCGAGUGAGGAAGCCGAGACUACAGAGCGUUGUUCCCGGCGGCAGCACUGCACCACUGCACCACUGCCGUUGUUCCCGCCAGGAUGCGGCCACGGCUGCUGCGCCUCGUGGGGGAAGUGAAGCUUGCGAAGGUUGAAAGCCUGACCACCACCACCAACAACAACACUGCGAGCACCACCAAAGCCUCCUCUUCUAGUCAUCCACCUUCAAUGUUCUUAACUUCACCACCACCACCACCACCACCACGCUGAUGGAACAAUGAAUAGAGGUCUGAGAUGUGUUGGACAUGCUGCUCUUGAAAGGCGACACCAUGAAUGAAUGAAGACUUCUCUGCAGUGUCAGGAUUAGAGGAACAGAAGCUGAGAUGACCACCUACAUCUCUAAGAGAGUUUAUCCACAGAGCUCAGACUCCAGGCACAAAGAUACAGGAUGAUGCAACAUGGGGGGAGAUGAACACACACUGUCUGCACUGCACCAGCAAAAAGAAUUAUGCAAAUAUGUCUGGACUUGCACAAGGCAGUUUCUGAAGUGAGGGGCUCCAAAUAAGAGUCUCCCCUAAAGCUUCCUGACAACAACAACUACUUUAAACCCAACACACACACACACACACACACACACACACACAUUAUUUCUCUCAUCUACCUCCACCAUUCCCUCCUAACCAUAAUGCAUCCUACAUAUUCACAUUUGUAUAGAAACAAAACUUACAUUGGAUUAGUAUAGUUAAAAAUGACAUUGUAUUGUAUUAAUAAAUGUAUGUUGAAUA